GAUGAACGCUGGCGGCGUGCUUAACACAUGCAAGUCGAACGAAGACAUCUGAGUGCUUGCACUUGGAUGGACUGAGUGGCGGACGGGUGAGUAACGCGUGGGUAACCUGCCUUAUACAGGGGGAUAACAGUUGGAAACGACUGCUAAUACCGCAUAAGCGCACGGUAUCGCAUGAUACAGUGUGAAAAACUCCGGUGGUAUAAGAUGGACCCGCGUCUGAUUAGCUUGUUGGUGAGGUAACGGCCCACCAAGGCGACGGUCAGUAGCCGGCCUGAGAGGGUGAACGGCCACAUUGGGACUGAGACACGGCCCAAACUCCUACGGGAGGCAGCAGUGGGGAAUAUUGCACAAUGGGGGAAACCCUGAUGCAGCGACGCCGCGUGAGUGAAGAAGUAUUUCGGUAUGUAAAGCUCUAUCAGCAGGGAAGAAGAAAUGACGGUACCUGACUAAGAAGCCCCGGCUAACUACGUG
rnacentral:rRNA from 1 species